rnacentral:rRNA from 1 species
ACGAGAGGACCGGGAUGGACUGACCUCUGGUGCACCAGUUGUCACGCCAGUGGCACAGCUGGGUAGCUAUGUCGGGAAGGGAUAAACGCUGAAAGCAUCUAAGCGUGAAGCCCACCUCAAGAUUAGAUUUCCCAUAGCGUAAGCUAGUAAGACCCCUUGAAGAACACAAGGUUGAUAGGCUAGAGGUGUAAGUGUAGUAAUACAUUCAGCUGACUAGUACUAAUAGGUCGAGGGCUUGA